UGCAAUAGGGGUGUGGAUGGAUGAAACAGACGUGGGCGGCUGGUGAUUAGGAGAGGCGAUGAACGAUGCCGUGGAGCGGCGGUGAGAGCUGACUCGGUGGAGUCGGCAUUUGAACGACCCCGCGUGCGUUGUCGGAGCGCACACGCACUUUGGCGCGGCCGACGGCGUGACUUUGGCCACAGUGGAGGAAACGGAGGACCUGGUCCUCCUAAAGGUCCGUGGCAAAGGAGUUCCCGGCUGCUGCUGGUGGAACUCGGGGCCGUGGUCGUGGUGGCGCUGCUGUUCCUUGCCUUCUCCCCCAGCAUCAACGAAGGUGGACGCCAUGCUACCGGCGAGGCUUCCUUAGCUGUCCAAGCUCGAGAUCUCAAACCGAAAACCGACCGUUCCGGCGCCACCGCAAUCCUUCUAACAAAACAGGAACUAAGGUAUAACACUAGAAGACGAAGACAAAGAAUGAUCACUCAAAAGAAGAGUCAUGGAGAUGAAACGAAGUCAAUACAGAACGGAGAACGGAGGAGGAAGGCAAGUGUCCCGGUGGCUGGAGAAGCCGAUGCGGCAAACUUGGUCCUUAUAGGCAAC
rnacentral:lncRNA from 1 species